rnacentral:lncRNA from 1 species
CCCAUAUGUCAGGGUCCCUGUUCCCAGGUCUGGCAAAACAGACCUACCUGGGCAGGGCCUGUAGCCUUCUUCAAACUUCAGCCAUUCGGACUCCUGGGUCCUCACCUCCUCUAUUCUGCCCUGGCAGGAGGUGAGGGCUUCAAAGAGGCCCUCUGGGUUCACACCGGCUUCCCAUUGCCUGUUCCUCACCCUCAGCAGUUCCUCGCUGUCUGGAGGGCAUCGUGGUGCCCGGCAGCAGCCUCAGUCCUGCCGUCCACACACCGCCUGUGCCUCCAGGCAUCUUCAGUGCCCCGUCCAGGACUCUUGUCAGAGCGUCCCUCCUGCCGGCAGCCACUCCCAGUUCUUCACACAGCGAAUGGAGCCCUCACGCUGCGCCGGU